ACCUGACUGCUAUCGGAUUGGUACUAAGCCAUGUGAGUCAUUGUAGCAAUACAAGGCAUACGGCUCAGUAACACGUAGUCAAUCUGCCCUAUGGACGUGGAUAACCUCGGGAAACUGAGAAUAAUCCGCGAUAGAUCAUAAUGCCUGGAACGGUUUAUGGUCCAAAUGAUUCGUCGCCAUAGGAUGGGACUGCGGCCUAUCAGCUUGUUGGUGAGGUAAUGGCCCACCAAGGCUAUUACAGGUACGGGCUCUGAGAGGAGAAGCCCGGAGAUGGGUACUGAGACACGGACCCAGGCCCUAUGGGGCGCAGCAGGCGAGAAGCCUUUGCAAUGUGCGCAAGCACGACAAGGUUAAUCCGAGUGUUUCCUGCUAAAGGAAUCUUUUGUUAGUUCUAAAACCACUGAUGAAUAAGGGGUGGGCAAGUUCUGGUGUCAGCCGCCGCGGUAAAACCAGCACCUCAAGUGGUCAGGAGGAUUAUUGGGCCUAAAGCAUCCGUAGCCGGUUCUGUAAGUUUCCGGUUAAAUCCACUAGCUCAACUAAUGGGCUGCCGGAAAUACUGCAGAACUAGGGAGUGGGAGAGGUAGACGGUACUCGGGAGGAAGGGGUAAAAUCCUUUGAUCUCUUGAUGACCACCUGUGGCGAAGGCGGUCUACCAGAACACGUUCGACGGUGAGGGAUGAAAGCUGGGGGAGCAAACCGGAUUAGAUACCCGGGUAGUCCCAGCUGUAAACGAUGCAGACUCGGUGAUGCACUGGCUUUUGGCCAGUGCAGUGCCGCAGGGAAGCCGUUAAGUUUGCCGCCUGGGAAGUACGUACGCAAGUAUGAAACUUAAAGGAAUUGGCGGGGGAGCACCACAAGGGUGAAGCCUGCGGUUCAAUUGGAUUCAACGCCGGAAA
rnacentral:rRNA from 1 species